UACGGAGGGGGCGAGUGUUGUUCGGAAUUACUGGGCGUAAAGGGCGCGUAGGCGGCUUGACAAGUCCCGGGUGAAAUCCCUCGGCUCAACCGAGGAACUGCCUUGGAAACUGUCUGGCUUGAGGCCGGGAGAGGGUAGUGGAAUUCCCAGUGUAGCGGUGAAAUGCGUAGAUACUGGGAGGAACACCGGUGGCGAAGGCGGCUACCUGGACCGGUUCUGACGCUGAGGCGCGAAAGCGUGGGUAGCAAACAGG
rnacentral:rRNA from 1 species